GAUGAACGCUGGCGGCGUGCCUAAUACAUGCAAGUCGAGCGCAGCGGGGACGGGUGAGUAACACGUGGAUAACCUCCGAUACGACUGGGACAGAUUGGGAAAACCGGAGCAAAACGGGUUACUCAUAGAUGGAUCCGCGCUGCAUUAGCUAGUUGGUAAGGUAAUGGCUUACCAAGGCAACGAUGCAUAGCCGACCUGAAAGGGUGAUCGGCCACACUGGAACUGAGACACGGUCCAGACUCCUACGGGAGGCAGCAGUAGGGAAUCUUCCGCAAUGGGCGAAAGCCUGACGGAGCAACGCCGCGUGAGUGAAGAAGGUCUUCGGAUCGUAAAACUCUGUUAUUAGGGAAGCGGUACCUAAUCAGAAAGCCACGGCUAACUACGUGCCAGCAGCCGCGGUAAUAC
rnacentral:rRNA from 1 species